GUGAAUCAUCAAAUUUUUGAACGCAAAUUGCACUCUCCUCGGAGAGUAUGCCUGUUUGAGGGCCAGCCUAUAAAAAAUCGUCAUCGUUGCUGUUUUGUUGUGGCGUUCGUCGGCAAUUCGGUUACUUUAAAUCCUUUUGGUUUUUAAGAGACUUAAAAUUUUCUUUUUGGUUCCAUGAACGUUUCUAAGAUGUAUUUCUUUACACGUUUAAGGUAUCGAUUUUUAUUAGACGUGAUGAUCAUAUCGGAUCGCGUCAAUAAUCUUUCAUUAACUGACCU
rnacentral:misc_RNA from 1 species